GAGAACUAACACUUAAAGGAAAUGGCAGGAUCAUUAACUAGCUUAAGCCACAUAUCUAGUAAUCUUAACCCUUACGUAAGAUGUUUUAACAAGAACUAGCGUAAGGAAGGGUCAAGAUGACCCUUCGCUCUGCUUGCAUUUUUGUAACCAAUCACAAGAUAAGGAGGUAGUAAAUCAGAAGGGAUUGAACACGGAGGAUUCUCUGCUAAUUAGGAACCGGUCUGAGUAAGUUUUGUGGUGAAGGUGAAAAGUGCACAGUGAGGAAGACAUACGGCCUUCAUCCCUGAGACCCCGGCCCACGACCACCAAGAGGCAGUGCGCGUGUGCAGCUGAGAGGAGUUAAAGGCGGAGACAAUGGAAAUGAACUCAUUGUAAUAAGACCACCUUUCCACGGAAAGAUCAUGAAUAUGUAUAGGUGCUUUUUGAAUAUGUAACAUUCUAUCCUAUAAAACUCAAAGGGAAGUGCUGCAAGGCGCGCACGAUUUUGGUGGGACGACCCCCCGUGCUGCCCAGCGCUGAAUAAACAUACCUACUUUACAACUUCACAGGUUGUGGAGUCUGUUUUCCGCGCGUCAUUUUGGCGAGCCAGGCAGGAGACACUCUGCUCGGCUGCGGGAUCGACUGCGGAGCGGACGCUCCUAGGCGCGCCCCGAGCACUUUUCUCGGAGGAGCCUCCACUUCCAGCCGCUCACCACGGGAGUAGACAACGACCUCCUGAAGUUGCGGAUAAACGUCUCUUACAGAAAAGACCCUGGAACCACAAUGGGAAGGACCGUUCCAGGUACUCCUCACAUCCUUCACAGCAAUAAAGAUUAAGGAGCAGAAUGCCUGGAUUCACCACUCCCGUGUGAAGAAGGCACCUAAAUCUCCAUGGAGAGUCACGCAAGUACAGCAAGGAAAGCUUACCUUGUCACGACGCUGAUUGUAAGCCUAAUAGGGGGACUUGAGGCAUGGGAGAAUAAUGCCUUUUUGCAGCUACAUGACAAAAUUGCUAAUGCCAUGAACUGGUCUGAUUGCUGGAUUUGCUUUUUGCUAAAGAAGGAGGUUUAUGUACGGUUAUUGGUGAACAUUGCUGUACCUAUGUUAACCAAGACAAAAGGAUUGAAAAGGAUUUAUCUCAAAUUUGGGAAAAAACCAAAAUCUUGCAUGAAGUGGCCCAAGAUAACACAUCUUGGGGGUUUAGUGACUUAGUGGAAAGAUUAACAUCCUGGUUACCGAAUUUGACAUGGUUGAAACAAUUGUUUGUUACGACAAUUACGGUUAUGAUUCUGCUUAUAGCUCUGUGUGUAGUAGUUCGAUGUGCUUUAGGGUGUUGUCAAAACACGGGGAAUUCUUACAGCGAAUGGAAGAAAUAUCAACUAAGGCAAAGGUUAGAAUCAAAUAAAUAUUUUGAGAAAGUAUUAGAUAAAGAGUCAUUGUAUUAGCUGUAGUAAAAGAAUUUACUAACCUUUUUGAAAAAGGGGGGAUUGAUAGAGAGAACUAACACUUAAAGGAAAUGGCAGGAUCAUUAACUAGCUUAAGCCACAUAUCUAGUAAUCUUAACCCUUACGUAAGAUGUUUUAACAAGAACUAGCGUAAGGAAGGGUCAAGAUGACCCUUCGCUCUGCUUGCAUUUUUGUAACCAAUCACAAGAUAAGGAGGUAGUAAAUCAGAAGGGAUUGAACACGGAGGAUUCUCUGCUAAUUAGGAACCGGUCUGAGUAAGUUUUGUGGUGAAGGUGAAAAGUGCACAGUGAGGAAGACAUACGGCCUUCAUCCCUGAGACCCCGGCCCACGACCACCAAGAGGCAGUGCGCGUGUGCAGCUGAGAGGAGUUAAAGGCGGAGACAAUGGAAAUGAACUCAUUGUAAUAAGACCACCUUUCCACGGAAAGAUCAUGAAUAUGUAUAGGUGCUUUUUGAAUAUGUAACAUUCUAUCCUAUAAAACUCAAAGGGAAGUGCUGCAAGGCGCGCACGAUUUUGGUGGGACGACCCCCCGUGCUGCCCAGCGCUGAAUAAACAUACCUACUUUACAACUUCA